rnacentral:rRNA from 1 species
AUACGGAGGGAGCGAGCGUUAAUCGGAAUUACUGGGCGUAAAGCGCUCGUAGGCGGCUUGUUAAGUCGGAUGUGAAAUCCCCGGGCUCAACCUGGGAACUGCAUUCGAUACUGGCAAGCUAGAGUAUAGUAGAGGCAAGUGGAAUUCCGGGUGUAGCGGUGAAAUGCGUAGAUAUCAGGAGGAACACCGUUGGCGAAGGCGGCCACCUGGAUUAGUACUGACGCUGAGGCGCGAAAGCGUGGGGAGCGAACAGGAUUAGAAACCCCGGUAGUCC